GACGAACGCUGGCGGCGUGCUUAACACAUGCAAGUCGAACGGAAAGGCCCUGCUUUUGUGGGGUGCUCGAGUGGCGAACGGGUGAGUAACACGUGAGUAACCUGCCCUUGACUUUGGGAUAACUUCAGGAAACUGGGGCUAAUACCGGAUAGGAGCUCCUGCUGCAUGGUGGGGGUUGGAAAGUUUCGGCGGUUGGGGAUGGAAUCGCGGCUUAUCAGCUUGUUGGUGGGGUAGUGGAGUACCAAGGCUUUGACGGGUAGCCGGCCUGAGAGGGUGACCGGCCACAUUGGGACUGAGGUACGGCCCAGACUCCUACGGGAGGCAGCAGUGGGGAAUAUUGCACAAUGGGCGGAAGCCUGAUGCAGCAACGCCGCGUGCGGGAUGACGGCCUUCGGGUUGUAAACCGCUUUCGCCUGUGACGAAGCGUGAGUGACGGUAAUGGGUAAAGAAGCACCGGCUAACUACGUG
rnacentral:rRNA from 1 species